rnacentral:rRNA from 1 species
UGAACGCUGGCGGCGUGCCUAACACAUGCAAGUCGAACGAGAAAGCGGGCUUCGGCCCGUGAGUAAAGUGGCAGACGGGUGAGUAACACGUGGGUAACCUGCCCGGAGGUGGGGGAUAACUCUUCGAAAGAGGAGCUAAUACCGCAUAACACCUCGAGAGCUUCGGCUUUUGAGAUCAAAGCUUGCCUCUACUCGUAAGCAAGCGCCACCGGAGGGGCCCGCGCCCCAUUAGCUUGUUGGUGAGGUAACGGCUCACCAAGGCUACGAUGGGUAGCCGGCCUGAGAGGGUGAUCGGCCACACUGGAACUGAGACACGGUCCAGACUCCUACGGGAGGCAGCAGUGAGGAAUUUUGCGCAAUGGGCGAAAGCCUGACGCAGCGACGCCGCGUGGAGGACGAAGGCCUUCGGGUCGUAAACUCCUGUCAAGCGGGACGAAUCCCUGGCGAAUGAAUAAGUCGCCAGGUUGACGGUACCGCUGGAGGAAGCCCCGGCUAACUCC